rnacentral:lncRNA from 1 species
CCUGCCCUUUUUUUUCAAAUAAUUAACUUAAUUUAAAAUCAUAUUAUUUAGUAAAACUAAUAUGUAUGUUGCAAAAUAAAACUAUUUUUAGAGUGAUAUCCCUUUUACAACAUAUUCAAAUUUCGUGUCAAAUGGAAAAAUGUAGCAUCAAUUGCCCCUUGUUUUUCCUUUUUUAUCCAAUUAGUGGCAAAAAUAUGUGGGGGGUGUGGAAAGUCACUAUAUCCAGUGG